GCCUCUGUGGAUGAAUGGAGAUCACCUCGAUCUUGUAAGGUGAACGGCACGAUUUGGCGAGGAGACGUGGGUUCGAAUCCCACCAGAGGCA